AGUCGACGAUGAAGCCUAGCUUGCUGGGUGGAUUAGUGGCGAACGGGUGAGUAACACGUGAGCAACCUGCCCCUGACUCUGGGAUAAGCGCUGGAAACGGCGUCUAAUACUGGAUAUGUCCCAUCACCGCAUGGUGUGUGGGUGGAAAGAUUUUUCGGUUGGGGAUGGGCUCGCGGCCUAUCAGCUUGUUGGUGAGGUAAUGGCUCACCAAGGCGUCGACGGGUAGCCGGCCUGAGAGGGUGACCGGCCACACUGGGACUGAGACACGGCCCAGACUCCUACGGGAGGCAGCAGUGGGGAAUAUUGCACAAUGGGCGGAAGCCUGAUGCAGCAACGCCGCGUGAGGGAUGACGGCCUUCGGGUUGUAAACCUCUUUUAGCAGGGAAGAAGCGAGAGUGACGGUACCUGCAGAAAAAGCACCGGCUAACUACGUGCCAGCAGCCGCGGUAAUACGUAGGGUGCAAGCGUUAUCCGGAAUUAUUGGGCGUAAAGAGCUCGUAGGCGGUCUGUCGCGUCUGCUGUGAAAUUCCGAGGCUCAACCUCGGGCUUGCAGUGGGUACGGGCAGACUAGAGUGCGGUAGGGGAGAUUGGAAUUCCUGGUGUAGCGGUGGAAUGCGCAGAUAUCAGGAGGAACACCGAUGGCGAAGGCAGAUCUCUGGGCCGUAACUGACGCUGAGGAGCGAAAGGGUGGGGAGCAAACAGGCUUAGAUACCCUGGUAGUCCACCCCGUAAACGUUGGGAACUAGUUGUGGGGUCCUUUCCACGGAUUCCGUGACGCAGCUAACGCAUUAAGUUCCCCGCCUGGGGAGUACGGCCGCAAGGCUAAAACUCAAAGGAAUUGACGGGGACCCGCACAAGCGGCGGAGCAUGCGGAUUAAUUCGAUGCAACGCGAAGAACCUUACCAAGGCUUGACAUACACGAGAACGGGCCAGAAAUGGUCAACUCUUUGGACACUCGUGAACAGGUGGUGCAUGGUUGUCGUCAGCUCGUGUCGUGAGAUGUUGGGUUAAGUCCCGCAACGAGCGCAACCCUCGUUCUAUGUUGCCAGCACGUAAUGGUGGGAACUCAUGGGAUACUGCCGGGGUCAACUCGGAGGAAGGUGGGGAUGACGUCAAAUCAUCAUGCCCCUUAUGUCUUGGGCUUCACGCAUGCUACAAUGGCCGGUACAAUGGGCUGCAAUACCGUGAGGUGGAGCGAAUCCCAAAAAGCCGGUCCCAGUUCGGAUUGAGGUCUGCAACUCGACCUCAUGAAGUCGGAGUCGCUAGUAAUCGCAGAUCAGCAACGCUGCGGUGAAUACGUUCCCGGGUCUUGUACA
rnacentral:rRNA from 1 species